CUUUGAUGAUCUUUCCAAGUUGUAGGCAGAGCUAACCUAAAGCAGCCAGCAGCUACUUCUUUCUCCUCAUAUGUCCCAGUGAUAGAAAUAUUUUAGAGUUCCUAGUAUUUUUAAUCAAAUGACUACACCUAAAUAUUGCUGUAUUUUGACAGUAAGCCAAAUUAAAAUUAGUACUCUGUGCCCAGCAUUUUUAUACAUUUCACAUAGGAUUCACUGCCCUUAAAGUGUUUCUAGUAUUACUAAAGAGGGGGUGCAACACACAGGAAAACAUUUGUGAAGUAUAAAAAAAAGUCAUUCGAUCUUAAACAACCCUGGGGUUAGGGGGGCUGACCCCUGUGUGUGCUGUUGAAAAUCCCUUUAUAACUUGUAUGACUUUUGACUCCCCCAAAACUGAACUACGAAUAGCCUACUGUUGACCAGAAGCCUUACCAGUAGCAUUAAGUCAGUUCACACAUAUUUUGUAUAUUAUAUACUGUAUUUUUACACUAAAGUAAGCUAUAAAAAGAAAAUGUUAUUAAGAAAAGAAUGAAGAAGAGAAAAUAUAUUUAUUAUUCAGUAAGUGGAAGUAGAUCCUCACAAAGCUCUUCACAUUGAGUAGGCUAAGAGGAGAGGAGGCAGAGGAGGGGUUGGCCUUGCUGUAUCAGGGGUGGUGGCAGAGAUGGGAGAAAAUCUGCAUAUAAGUAGACUUGCGUAGUUCAAACCCAUGUGUUCAAGGGUCAACUGCAUAUCAUUAACUGCUCAAUUAGAUAAAGUCAAACCUGAAAUGUACUGUGUAACCAUAAAGGUUAAAACUCAGUGCAAACAAAGGCUAUGAAUAAUCAGGUAUAAUUUGCACUGGGUCCUCAAGUGUUUAUAGGAUUGGGAUAAUUGAGCAGCAAAAUAAAAAAGUAUUCCAGACAAGGGGUUUAGGUUGAACAAAGUUUCAAAAACAGUGAUAAAUCUGGUAAAUAUGGGAGAGAGUUAAGAGACCUGCCAAUCCUAGGAAUUUAACCCAAAAAGUGAUGUAGUCAUGAAUAUCUCUGAUCUCUAGUUAUAUGUUCACAUAUCAGCUAGGCAGUUUUGGAGGGGGAAUUUCAGAGGUGCUGAUAAUCACCUUGGAAUAAAUUUAUUCUACAACUAUUGGUGAAAUAAAAAGUAUUGUUGUAAGUAAGAAUAAAUUUCUCUGUUAAUUUAUUGGUGAAAUUCUUCCUUCUUACAGAAGAAACUGGUAAGAUUAAGUAAACGAUAGUGCUUGUUUUUGGAUGUAAAGGUGUUGUAUGAAG
rnacentral:lncRNA from 1 species